rnacentral:rRNA from 1 species
UACGUAGGGGGCAAGCGUUGUCCGGAAUCAUUGGGCGUAAAGCGCGUGUAGGCGGCUCGGUAAGUCCGCUCUGAAAGUCCAGGGCUCAACCCUGGGAUGCGGGUGGAUACUGUCGGGCUCGAGUCCGGAAGAGGCGAGUGGAAUUCCCGGUGUAGCGGUGAAAUGCGCAGAUAUCGGGAGGAACACCAAUGGCGAAGGCAGCUCGCUGGGACGUGACUGACGCUGAGACGCGAAAGCGUGGGGAGCAAACAGG